AACGAACGCUGGCGGCAGGCUUAACACAUGCAAGUCGAACGCCCCGCAAGGGGAGUGGCAGACGGGUGAGUAACACGUGGGAACAUGCCCAAAGGUACGGAAUAUUCUCGGGAAACUGGGAGCAAUACCGUAUGUGCCCGAAAGGGGAAAGAUUUAUCGCCUUUGGAUUGGCCCGCGUUGGAUUAGCUAGUUGGUGGGGUAAAAGCCUACCAAGGCGACGAUCCAUAGCUGGUCUGAGAGGACGACCAGCCACACUGGGACUGAGACACGGCCCAGAGUCCUACGGGAGGCAGCAGUGGGGAAUCUUGGACAAGGGGCGCAAGCCUGAUCCAGCCAUGCCGCGUGAGUGAUGAAGGCCCUAGGGUUGUAAAACGCUUUCGUGGGGGACGAUAAUGGCGGUACCCCAAGAAGAAGCUCCGGCUAACUUCGUGCCAGCCGCCGCCGAAACAC
rnacentral:rRNA from 1 species